CCGGAAAUCUUACCGGGACCGACAGCAAUAUGAAGGCCAGGCUGAAGACUUUGCCGGAUUAGCUGAGAGGUGGUGCAUGGCCGUCGUCAGUUCGUACUGUGAAGCAUCCUGUUAAGUCAGGCAACGAGCGAGACCCACGCCCACAGUUGCCAGCGUACUCUCUGGAGUGACGGGUACACUGUGGGGACCGCCGCUGCUAAAGCGGAGGAAGGAAUGGGCAACGGUAGGUCAGCAUGCCCCGAAUUAUCUGGGCUACACGCGGGCUACAAUGGGUGGGACAAUGGGUAUCGACACCGAAAGGGGACGGGAAUCUCCUAAAACCAAUCUUAGUUCGGAUUGAGGGCUGCAACUCGCCCUCAUGAAGCUGGAAUCCGUAGUAAUCGCGUUUCAACAGAACGCGGUGAAUACGUCCCUGCUCCUU
rnacentral:rRNA from 1 species